GGGCCCGUAGCUCAGCCAGGUAGAGCGCCCGGCUCAUACCGCCGGGUCUCGGGUUCGAGACAAGCCCGCGUGAGACACCGGGUGGUCGGGGGUUCAAAUCCCCCCGGGCCCA
rnacentral:tRNA from 2 species